GUGGGGAAUAUUGGGCAAUGGGGGCAACCCUGACCCAGCGACGCCGCGUGGGUGAAGAAAUCCCUCGGGAUGUAAAGCCCUGUUGUAUGGGAAGAGCAGAAGACGGUACCAUACGAGGAAGCCCCGGCAAACUACGUGCCAGCAGCCGCGGUAAUACGUAGGGGGCAAGCGUUGUCCGGACUUACUGGGCGUAAAGCGCACGCAGGCUGAAUUAUAAGUCGGUAGUCACAUACGGCGGCUCAACUUCCGGAUAUCUAUCGAUACUGUAAAUCUAUAGUAUGUGAGAGGGAAGCGGAAUUCCCGGUGUAGCGGUGAAAUGCGUAGAUAUCGGGAGGACCACCAGUGGCGAAGGCGGCUUCCUGGCACAAUACUGACGCUCAUGUGCGAAAGCUAGGGCAGCGAACGGGAUUAGAAACCCCAGUAGUCC
rnacentral:rRNA from 1 species